GGUUAAGCGACUAAGCGUACACGGUGGAUGCCUAGGCAAUCAGAGGCGAUGAAGGACGUGCUAAUCUGCGAUAAGCGUCGGUAAGGUGAUAUGAACCGUUACAACCGACGAUUUCCGAAUGGGGAAACCCAGUGCAAUUCGUUGCACUAUCGUUUGAUGAAUACAUAGUCAAACGAAGCGAACCGGGGGAACUGAAACAUCUCAGUACCCCGAGGAAAAGAAAUCAACCGAGAUUCCCCUAGUAGCGGCGAGCGAACGGGGAGCAGCCCAGAGUCUUAAUCA
rnacentral:rRNA from 1 species